AACUGAUACUACCUGCGGGAACCUGCGGAAGGAUCAUUAACGAGUUUUGAAGUGGGAUUGAUGCUGGCCUUCCGAGGCAUGUGCUCGUCCUCGCUCAUCCACUCACAACACCUGUGCACUGUUGAGGUGUGGCCCCCCCUCAAUGGAGCCGUUCCCCCCUAGGGGGUCGAGCCGGGGUCAGGCCUUCUUCGUCACAAACAACUUGUAAUGUCUAUUCGGAAUGUAAUGCUUCAUGUUAAU
rnacentral:misc_RNA from 1 species